rnacentral:rRNA from 1 species
UACGAGGGGGGCAAGCGUUGUUCGGAAUUAUUGGGCGUAAAGGGUGCGUAGGCGGUCUGACAAGUCUGAUGUGAAAUCUAUGGGCUCAACCCAUAGUCUGCAUCGGAAACUGUCGGGCUGGAGUAUGGGAGAGGUGAGUGGAAAUUUCCGGUGUAGCGGUGAAAUGCGUAGAGUAUCGGAAGGAACAUCCUGUGGCGAAAGCGGACUCACUGGACC